rnacentral:rRNA from 1 species
UACGUAGGGUGCAAGCGUUAAUCGGAAUUACUGGGCGUAAAGCGUGCGCAGGCGGUGAUGUAAGACAGUUGUGAAAUCCCCGGGCUCAACCUGGGAACUGCAUCUGUGACUGCAUUGCUGGAGUGCGGCAGAGGGGGAUGGAAUUCCGCGUGUAGCAGUGAAAUGCGUAGAUAUGCGGAGGAACACCGAUGGCGAAGGCAAUCCCCUGGGCCUGCACUGACGCUCAUGCACGAAAGCGUGGGGAGCGAACAGG